rnacentral:rRNA from 1 species
UACGGAGGGUGCAAGCGUUAUCCGGAUUCACUGGGCUUAAAGGGUGCGUAGGCGGCUUGGUAAGUCAGUGGUGAAAUCCCCGAGCUUAACUUGGGAACUGCCAUUGAUACUAUCAGUCUUGAAUACCGUGGAGGUCAGCGGAAUAUGUCAUGUAGCGGUGAAAUGCUUAGAUAUGACGUAGAACACCAAUUGCGAAGGCAGCUGGCUACGCGGAUAUUGACACUGAGGCACGAAAGCGUGGGGAUCAAACAGG